ACCUACGAUGUCUGAGGAAUUAAGUCUUCAAUCAAAAGCAGGUUGUGGGUUGUUUGUAGGUUUGUGUGGAUCCUGAAUAAGCGGUCACUGUUGAGAACUCCUUUUUGUAUAGACAGUGCAAUAUUUAUAAUUUAUCAUGGGUGAGAGGUUUCACUCUCUGCAAGACAACGGUUCCUGAACUUUUAGUAACUCUUAUUUAGAUCAACACUAGGUACAUUUCACAGUCCUUAGCUCUCGUACCUCCAUGAAAAGUAACAUAUGCUUUUUCAAUCAAUUGCUUCCUUUAUGACUAUAAAAUGACAGAAAGCCUUUCCCUCAGUCACACAGGAAUUUCACUAAUUCCAGCCUUCUUAGCGAUCACGUGAUGAACCACAAAAAGAUGCACUUUAAGUUUCUCAAUAGACAAACAGCAUACUGCAUGUAGUCUUCAUUAAUAUCCCAUAUGUCACCAAUUACGCAAGAAUCAUUAAGCAGUGAGCGAAUACAUCCACAGUUGCAACUCUCAUUUGCCAAUAUCGUGCAAUUAGAGUGUGUAUGGAAAGCAAAACAAUGACCUGAUGCUGCAGCACAGCACAUAGGUGGAGAUGUGUAUGCUCAGGAUGAGUCUGGACCCCUUCCUUACGUUGUCACUGCAUUGUUGGGGUGGACUGCUGUCCGCCAAAGUCAAACAGCGGGGACUGGUUUGCAGCUCUGGGUUAGGAUGAAGUAGAUGGCUUGUCAUCCAGUGGGAACCCACCCCAGACCUCCACACUUCUCAGUGAGGGGCUAUCUGCACAAGCUGAAGGAGGAUGUCGUGUGAGAUGCAAAGAGAUCCGUGUGACUUAGGCACAGGUAUUGAAUUUAUUUGUGAAUCCCACAGUGAGGCGAGAAAAAGCGCGUAACAAACUGUCACUGAAAGUGCAGUUUAAGUCCCUAAUUGUGAUCGAGAGUCCACGUGUCUAGCUGUCAGGUACCCCGGCCGGCCCUAAUGAGCCCGGCUGGCUCUAACGAGGCAACGACUGUCAGGUGCCGCGGGGCCGCGGCCGCCCGUGCCCAGCUGCGCCUCGUUCGGAACCCGGGGUGAAUCCGCCCCCGACGCCUCUUAAGCUCCGUCGGAGGCCGCUGGGAGCUAUCAGAAGGCUCCUGGGAUUCGUUGCCUGCGGGAGCUGGAGCGGGAUCUGCCGCGUUGUCCGGUCUUUGCGCCGCUGGGGCUGAAAAGCGCCGCGAGAGGUUGCUUUUAAAACUAGCGCUUCAGAUUCUUUGUGGCGGUCUCUGUUUGUUGUGUUCUUUUGUUUCAGGCUGCGAUGAGAUGUAUCCCUGUGAAGAUCAGCCCCGACCGGUGAGGCGUUCAGGCUGAGCGAAAGCUGCAGCGGAACCUCUCAUCUUCCCGAGCUGGUGAAACGGCGGAGGCGGUGAGCGAGUGGGAGUCGCGAAGGUGGCCAGAGGCAUUCACUUGCAGCACUAUAAUGAGGCAUGGGAGGUAACGCAAGUGUUGAUGCAAGAAAUCACUCCAAGAUUUGGUGUUCCUGCCACGAUCUCUUCAGAUUGGGGUCCUCAUUUUGUUGCUAAAGUGGUAU